UACAGAGGUCCCGAGCGUUGUUCGGAUUCACUGGGCGUAAAGGGUGCGUAGGUGGCCUGAAAAGUUUGAUGUGAAAGCUCAGGGCUUAACCCUGAAAUGGCAUUGAAUACUGUCGGGCUGGAGGUUUGGAGGGGGGACUGGAAUUCUUGGUGUAGCAGUGAAAUGCGUAGAUAUCAAGAGGAACACCAGUGGCGAAGGCGAGUCCCUGGACAACACCUGACACUGAGGCACGAAAGCUAGGGGAGCGAAUGGG
rnacentral:rRNA from 1 species